rnacentral:rRNA from 1 species
GACGAACGCUGGCGGCGCGCCUAACACAUGCAAGUCGAACGAGCGAGAGAGAGCUUGCUUUCUCGAGCGAGUGGCGAACGGGUGAGUAACGCGUGAGGAACCUGCCUCAAAGAGGGGGACAACAGUUGGAAACGACUGCUAAUACCGCAUAAGCCCACGACCCGGCAUCGGGUAGAGGGAAAAGGAGCAAUCCGCUUUGAGAUGGCCUCGCGUCCGAUUAGCUAGUUGGUGAGGUAACGGCCCACCAAGGCGACGAUCGGUAGCCGGACUGAGAGGUUGAACGGCCACAUUGGGACUGAGACACGGCCCAGACUCCUACGGGAGGCAGCAGUGGGGAAUAUUGCACAAUGGGGGAAACCCUGAUGCAGCGACGCCGCGUGGAGGAAGAAGGUCUUCGGAUUGUAAACUCCUGUUGUUGGGGAAGAUAAUGACGGUACUCAACAAGGAAGUGACGGCUAACUACGUG